rnacentral:tRNA from 1 species
GCGAUGGUGGUUUAGUGGUAGAAUUCUUGCCUUCCAUGCAAGAGACUUGGGUUCAAUUCCCAGCCAACACA